rnacentral:rRNA from 1 species
UACGUAGGGUGCAAGCGUUAAUCGGAAUCACUGGGCGUAAAGGGUGCGUAGGCGGGUCUUUAAGUCAGGGGUGAAAUCCUGGAGCUCAACUCCAGAACUGCCUUUGAUACUGAGGAUCUUGAGUUCGGGAGAGGUGAGUGGAACUGCGAGUGUAGAGGUGAAAUUCGUAGAUAUUCGCAAGAACACCCGUGGCGAAGGCGGCUCUCUGGGACGGUACUGACGCUGAGACGCGAAAGCGUGGGGAGCGAACAGG